rnacentral:rRNA from 1 species
GUGAGUAGUUCAGAGUUUGAUCCUGGCUCAGGAUUAGCGCCGGCGGCAUGCCUAAUACAUGCAAGUCGAACGAGGUCACUUGUGACCUAGUGGCGAACGGGUGAGUAACACGUAGGGAACCUGCCUCAAAGUCGAGGAUAACUAUUGGAAACGAUAGCUAAGACUGGAUAGUAUACCAGAAGGCAUCUUUUGGUAUUUAAAGGUCCGUUUGGAACGCUUUGAGAUGGCCCUGCGGCGCAUUAGCUAGUUGGUGAGGUAACGGCCCACCAAGGCGACGAUGCGUAGCUGUGCUGAGAGGCAAAACAGCCACACUGGGACUGAGACACGGCCCAG